AGACGGGCUGGUGUCGGAGCUCUGUCGGUCAAGACGGGCGGGCUCCCACGGCGAGCACGUGCAUUGCACACCGCUCGUGUUGACCCUUGCCACUUCUCCAAACUGGGGUAGAUGGGGCAUGCAAUUUUUGGCAGUGGGGGGACUGCGUGCGCGCAUUCCCCCC
rnacentral:snRNA from 1 species